AUUGAACGCUGGCGGCAGGCCUAACACAUGCAAGUCGAACGAGAGGCGGACGGGUGUGUAUUGUAUGGGGACUGCCCGUUAGAGGGGGAUAACUACUGGAAACGGUAUAUACUAUCGCACACUAUCGGAUAACCCAUAUGGGAUUAGCUAGUGGGUGAGGUAAUGGCUCACCAAGGCGACGAUCCCUAGCUGGUCUGAGAGGAUGAUCAGCCACACUGGGACUGAGACACGGCCCAGACUCCUACGGAGGCAGCAGUGGGGAAUAUUGCACAAUGGGCGCAAGCCUGAUGCAGCCAUGCCGCGUGUAUGAAGAAGGCCCUAGGGUUGUAAAGUACUUUCAGUCGGGAGGCGUUACCGACAGAAGAAGCACCGGCUAACUCCGUGCCAGCAGCCGCGGUAAUAC
rnacentral:rRNA from 1 species